UGCUCAGAGAGCCCCAUUCUUUCCUGGGGGUGAAGAAGCCCCACUGUGGAGACGCCCCCAGAGGAGCGGAGCGGGCAGGCCGCACAUCCGGGGCCCCCAGACCAGAACCAGCCUGCUCACAGGGCCAGUUCCCUUUUGGUUUAACGCUGACGCGCCUUGUGGGACCUGAGCCUGUUCCUCUGCGAGCACUUUGACUUGUUGACUUUCUGAAAUCAUGAUUCUCAUGGUGAAUCUGGCCCCGAGCUGCCCACAAUAUCUACGCCAACAUCUCCAUGGGUGCUGCCUUGAAAUCUCCUCCGCUGAUGUGUCCAUCACCUUAAAUUCAGCCUCACAGAAAGUCUCAGAACACGGGCAAAAUGGAGAGGAGUUAUUUUCCAGGAUGUAACAAACGGCCUCUGGUCCAAUUCCCAGCAGAGACCUCGUCCCACGCGAAGGUUCCUGAGCACAGUCUUACUGUCUGCGUUCCUCCUGGCAUUCUGGAUUCUGGGGUCCCGUCACAGUCACCCACUGAGUUCUCCUUACAUUCGAAGGAGAAUCUCCAGCCUGCAUCUCCGACUUUUCCAAACUCCUCCUACAAACCAGUUCCAAAGGCUUCCAAACCACAGCGCCAGGGGUUCACAUAGUCACAACAAUGACCCCACUUCUGGAACCAAUUUUCUGUAUCAGUCAACACUCGGUCACUGUGACCAAGAUACUUGAUGAAAACAACUUAGAGGAGGGAAGAUCGAUUAUGGCUCAUGACUUCAGAGUUUUGGUCAGAUGCCUCCAUUGCUUUGAACCCGACGUGAGGCAGAAGAUCCUAGUGAAGAGUUGGAGGAGCAGAGCUGCUCGGCUCACGGCAGCUGGGAAGGACAGAAGUGGGGGAGGGCGGAGAAGACGGAACCUCCUAGGGCUUCCCAAGGCUGACUUCUCCAACUAGGUCCCGGCUCCAGGACUCUCCCAGCCAUCAGUGGGUGAAUCCACUGCUGAGGUCAGAGCCCCGUGAUCCAGUCACUUCCCCAAAGCCCCCUCUGCACCCAGGAGACUCUGAGGACAGUCCAGAUCCUAAUCACCACAGCAGCAGUGUGGCUCCCCCGCUCUGGCCUCUGCUCCUGCCUCACAUCUCGGGCCUUCCUCUGACAGGGACCCUGUGACGACUUCAGCCCACCAGGAUCACCGAAGCUAAUGUCCCCAUCUCCGUCCCUAAGUCAGUCCCACCUGCUAAGACAUCCCAAGGUGUGGGGCCCAUAUUCACAGGUUCCAGGAUGGAGCCGUGGAUCUCUUUGGGGCCAUGAUUCAGCCCACUACACAUAGAUCUUGUUAACUCAUAUCAAAGUUUUCUAGUGGAAGGUGAAGUAUCUGAGAAUUAAAGAAAAUAAACAACAGCAGAGGUGACCCUGGCAACACAGCCAAGGACCUGGCAGGGGCCCCCUCAGGGCGGAGUGGGUGCAGCCACAGAGGGCUUUCUUUAUGAGCUCCUCACUGUGUCUUUAGAGACGAAUCGCCGUUAUUAUUACUAGUUAAUUAAACAAAUGAUUCGAUUACCGCAAAGAAAA